CUGCGAAUGGCUCAUUAUAUAAGUUAUCGUUUAUUUGAUAGUACCUUACUACUUGGAUAACCGUGGUAAUUCUAGAGCUAAUACAUGCUGAAAAUCCCGACUUUGGAAGGGAUGUAUUUAUUAGAUUCAAAACCAAUGCCCCCUGGGCUCCUUGGUGAUUCAUGAUAACUUUUCGAAUCGCACGGCCUUGCGCCGGCGAUGGUUCAUUCAAAUUUCUUCCCUAUCAACUUUCGAUGUUUGGGUAUUGGCCAAACAUGGUCGCAACGGGUAACGGAGGGUUAGGGCUCGACCCCGGAGAAGGAGCCUGAGAAACGGCUACUACAUCCAAGGAAGGCAGCAGGCGCGCAAAUUACCCAAUCCCGAUUCGGGGAGGUAGUGACAAUAAAUACUGAUACAGGGCUCUUUUGGGUCUUGUAAUUGGAAUGAGUACAAUUUAAAUCCCUUAACGAGGAACAAUUGGAGGGCAAGUCUGGUGCCAGCAGCCGCGGUAAUUCCAGCUCCAAUAGCGUAUAUUAAAGUUGUUGUGGUUAAAAAGCUCGUAGUUGAACCUUGGGCCUGGCUGGCCGGUCCGCCUCACCGCGUGUACUGGUCCGGCCGGGCCUUUCCCUCUGUGGAACCUCAUGCCCUUCACUGGGUGUGGCGGGGAAACAGGACGUUUACUUUGAAAAAAUUAGAGUGCUCCAGGCAGGCCUAUGCUCGAAUACAUUAGCAUGGAAUAAUGAAAUAGGACGUGUGGUUCUAUUUUGUUGGUUUCUAGGACCGCCGUAAUGAUUAAUAGGGACAGUCGGGGGCAUCAGUAUUCAAUUGUCAGAGGUGAAAUUCUUAGAUUUAUUGAAGACUAACUACUGCGAAAGCAUUUGCCAAGGAUGUUUUCAUUAAUCAGGAACGAAAGUUAGGGGAUCGAAGACGAUCAGAUACCGUCGUAGUCUUAACCAUAAACUAUGCCGACUAGGGAUCGGACGAUGUUAUUUUUUGACGCGUUCGGCACCUUACGAGAAAUCAAAGU
rnacentral:rRNA from 1 species